AACGAACGCUGGCGGCGUGGAUAAGACAUGCAAGUCGAACGGAAUUACUUUUGUAGCAAUACAGAAGUAAUUCAGUGGCGAACGGGUGCGUAACACGUGGGCAAUCUGCCGAAAAGUGGGGGAUAGCUCGCCGAAAGGCGAAUUAAUACCGCAUGUGGUGAGGGACGACAUCUUCCUGAAUCCAAAGCCGGGGCAACCUGGCGCUUUUUGAGGAGCCCGCGGCCUAUCAGCNGUUGGCGGGGUAACGGCCCACCAAGGCUAUGACGGGUAGCUGGUCUGAGAGGACGACCAGUCACACUGGAACCGAGACACGGUCCAGACACCUACGGGUGGCAGCAGUCGAGAAUUUUUCUCAAUGGGGGCAACCCUGAAGGAGCGACGCCGCGUGGAGGAUGAAGGCUUUCGGGUU
rnacentral:rRNA from 1 species